rnacentral:rRNA from 1 species
CAGCAGCCGCGGUAAUACGAAGGGGGCUAGCGUUGUUCGGAAUUACUGGGCGUAAAGCGCACGUAGGCGGACAUUUAAGUCAGGGGUGAAAUCCCGGGGCUCAACCCCGGAACUGCCUUUGAAACUAGGUGACUAGAAUCUUGGAGAGGUCAGUGGAAUUCCGAGUGUAGAGGUGAAAUUCGUAGAUAUUCGGAAGAACACCAGUGGCGAAGGCGACUGACUGGACAAGUAUUGACGCUGAGGUGCGAAAGCGUGGGGAGCAAACAGGAUUAGAUACCCCAGUAGUCCCUGUCUCUUAUAC